UACAGAGGUGGCAAGCGUUGUUCGGAAUUACUGGGCGUAAAGGGCGCGUAGGCGGCCUUGUCAGUCAGACGUGAAAUCCCCAGGCUUAACCUGGGAACUGCGUCUGAUACUACAAGGCUUGAGUUCGGGAGAGGAAUGUGGAAUUCCAGGUGUAGCGGUGAAAUGCGCAGAUAUCGGGAGGAACACCAGCGGCGAAGGCGGCACUCUGGGCUGGUACUGACGCUGAGGAGCGAAAGCGUGGGUAGCAAACAGG
rnacentral:rRNA from 1 species